rnacentral:rRNA from 1 species
CUCAGGAUGAACGCUAGCGGCAGGCUUAAUACAUGCAAGUCGAACGGAAACAGGCGGUAGCAAUACUGCGCUGUCGAGUGGCGCACGGGUGCGUAACACGUAUGCAACCCACCCUUAACUGGGGAAUAACCCUGUGAAAGCGGGGCUAAUACCCCAUAACAUUAUGGUAAGGCAUCUUACUAUUAUCAAAGAUUUAUCGGUUAGGGAUGGGCAUGCGCCCCAUUAGUUAGUUGGUUAGGUAACGGCUAACCAAGACUGUGAUGGGUAGGGGUUCUGAGAGGAUUAUCCCCCACACUGGUACUGAGACACGGACCAGACUCCUACGGGAGGCAGCAGUAAGGAAUAUUGGGCAAUGGACGCAAGUCUGACCCAGCCAUGCCGCGUGCAGGAUGACGGCCUUAUGGGUUGUAAACUGCUUUUGUAUGGGAUUAAAGUGUUGUACGUGUACGACAUUGCAAGUACCAUACGAAUAAGCAUCGGCUAACUCCGUGCCAGCAGCCGCGGUAAUACGGAGAUGCAAGCGUUAUCCGGAAUCAUUGGGUUUAAAGGGUGCGUAGGUUGAUUAUUAAGUCAGUGGUGAAAAUUCCGGGCUCAACCGGGGACUUGCCGUUGAAACUGAUAAUCUUGAGUGUAACUGAUGUGGGCGGAAUGUGUCAAGUAGCGGUGAAAUGCAUAGAUAUGACACAGAACACCGAUAGCGAAGGCAGCUCACAAAAUUACAACUGACACUGAGGCACGAAAGCGUGGGUAUCAAACAGGAUUAGAUACCCUGGUAGUCCACGCUGUAAACGAUGAUCACUAGCUGUUUGCGAUACAUUGUAAGUGGUUAAGCGAAAGCGAUAAGUGAUCCACCUGGGGAGUACGUCGGCAACGAUGAAACUCAAAGGAAUUGACGGUGGCCCGNACAAGCGGAGGACCUGUGGUUCAUUCGAUGAUACGCGAGGAACCUUUACUGGGCUUGAACGUAUGGUGCCUGAGUGUGAAAGCACUCUUACCUU